rnacentral:sRNA from 1 species
AACCACUCGCUAGGCGAGUGGUUCAAAAAAGCCUAGGGCGAUGAGGCGGAAAAGAAAACUCCCUUUGCUAUAAUUGAAGUGCGGUCUGCCAACUGCACGAAAGAUAGCAAAGG